UCGGCCACAAACACGCAGUCUACUGUUGGCCGA
rfam:Theiler's encephalomyelitis virus polyprotein gene, partial cds.